UACGGAGGGGGCUAGCGUUGUUCGGAAUUACUGGGCGUAAAGCGCACGUAGGCGGAUCUUUAAGUCAGAGGUGAAAUCCCAAGGCUCAACCUUGGAACUGCCUUUGAUACUGGGGAUCUUGAGUCCGGGAGAGGUGAGUGGAACUGCGAGUGUAGAGGUGAAAUUCGUAGAUAUUCGCAAGAACACCAGUGGCGAAGGCGGCUCACUGGCCCGGUACUGACGCUGAGGUGCGAAAGCGUGGGGAGCAAACAGG
rnacentral:rRNA from 1 species